CCGCACACGAUGACUCCUAUAGGGCGAAUGAAUUUACCCGGCGCUUAUCGCCCUUAGAGUUUGAUCCUGUGCUCCCGAUAAACGCUGGCGGCGCGCAUAAUACAUGCAAGUCGAACGGACGACUUUGAUUUGUUUUACUUAUCACAGAAGUCAAUGGCGGACUGGUGAAUAACACGUUAUCAAUCUGCCUACCAUAGGGGAACUACAGUGAGAAAUCACUGAUAAUACCGCAUAGACUAACAGCUACGCCUGAAGUAGUUAGAAAAGGAGCAAUCCGCUUGUAAAUGAGCUUGCGUCUGAUUAGCUAUUUGGUGUGGUAACGGCAUACCAAGGCAACGAUCAUUAGCUGUGCUGAAAGGCAGAACACCCACAUUGGGACGGAAAUACGGCCCACACUCCUACGGGAGGCACCAGUCGGGAAUAUUGCACAAUGGAGGAAACUCUGAUGCACUGACUCCGCGUAUAGGAAAAAGGUCUACGGAUUGUAAACUAUUGUAGACAGGGAAUAAACAAGACAGUACCUGUAUAGUAAGCCCCGGCUAACUAUGUGCCAGCAGCCGCGGUAAUACAUAGGGGGCAAGCGUUAUCCGAAAUCAUGGGGCGUAAAGGGUGCGUAGACGGGAAAUUAAAUUAUUUGUGAAAUCCCUCGGCUUAAGUGAGGAACUGCAACUAAAACUGUUUUUCUUGAGUGCAAGAGAUGAAAGCGGAAUUCCUAGUGUAGCGGUGAAAUGCUUACAUAUUAGGAGGAACACCACUGACGAAGACGGCUUUUUGGACUGUAACUGACGUUGAUGCACGAAAGUGUGGGGAGCAUACAGGAUUAGAUACUCUGGUAGUCCACACUGUAAACGAUGGAUAAUAGGUGUAGGGGGUAUUAAGCCUUCUGUGCCGUCGCAGACGCAGUAAGUAUCCCGCCUGGGGAGUACGGCCGCAAGGUUGAAACUCAAAGGAAUUGACGGGGGCCCGCACAAGCAGUGGAGUAUGUGGUUUAAUUCGAAGCAACGCGAAGAACCUUACCAGGGCUUGACAUAUACAGGAAUAAUUAAGAGAUUAAUUAGCUCUUCGGAGUUUGUAUACAGGUGGUGCAUGGUUGUCGUCAGCUCGUGUCGUGAGAUGUUGGGUUAAGUCCCGCAACGAGCGCAACCCCUAUGAUUAGUUGCCAGCACGUAAAGGUGGGAACUCUAAUCAGACUGCCGGUGAUAAAUCGGAGGAAGGUGGGGACGACGUCAAAUCAUCAUGCCCUUUAUGUCGUGGGCUACACACGUAUUACAAUGGAUGUAACAGAGGGAAGCAAUACAGUGAUGUGGAGCAAAACCUUAAAAGCGGUCACAGUUCGGAUUGAAGGUUGAAAUUCGCCUUCAUGAAGUUGGAAUUGUUAGUAAUGGCAGGUCAGCAUAGUGCCGGUGAAUACGUUCUCCGGGCCUUGUACACACCGCCCGUC
rnacentral:rRNA from 1 species